rnacentral:misc_RNA from 1 species
AAAUUUUAGGUCGUAAUGUUGGUGAUUGGUCAACAAAUAACUUGUUUAGAUAUUGAGAGUGAGAUCAGUAAGGAUGAGAGGGUUGGAGGAGGAGAGGGUCCUGAGGAGGAGGAGGAGGAGGGGGCAGAGGAGGGGAACCUUGAUAGAAAAUCAUUCCAUGGAUCAGGAUUUCUGACAGACACCAACCGGAAGUUGUCAAGAUGGUUGAGAGUAAGCAGGAUGAACAGCGGAUCUGUUGGUCCAGAGGAUACGGAUGGGUCUGGGUUGGUACGUGUUGACUCUAUAGGGAAACGAACCAGUUCUGUUGGAUCGGUGUAUGCUCUCUCAGAGCUCAGGCAGAGGAAUAAAGAAGAGAGAAGAUUGAUAGAUAAAGACGGAACUUUGAAGAUUGCUCAUCAUGGUCUUAAUGAGAGAAAAACCAGAUACAUUGAUGAUAUCUUUACAACCUGUGUUGACCUCAGAUGGAGAUACAUUUUUCUAGGGUUUACAUCUAGUUUCCUUGUAUCCUGGUUAACCUUCGCUGGUAUCUGGCACCUACUCUUCUACUUGAACGGGGACCUAGAGGAGGAUCAUCUACCUGAUGUUCAGGUUGAAAAUGGUUGGACCCCCUGUGUUUACUCAAUAUAUGAUUUUGGUUCAACUUUUCUCUUUUCUGUGGAAACCCAGCAUACCAUUGGAUACGGGCUCAGAGGAAGCAGUCAUAAGUGUCCCGAUACCAUCAUUUUACAGUGUAUCCAGUCGAUUGCAGGGGUUCUAAUACAAGCUUGCAUGGCAGGAAUAGUAUUUGCAAAACUUGCGCGCCCUAAGAAUAGAGCGCGCACAGUUACCUUCUCCAAGAACGCAGUGGUCUCCAUGGUGAACGGGAAGCUGCGCUUGAUGUUCCGAGUUGCAAACGCGCGCAAUUCCCAGAUUCUUGAAGCACACUACCGUGCUCUGCUCCUUGGGAACUUCACAACCAAGGAGGGGAGUACUUAUAGAAAUUUUCCAACAGAGCUCCCCCUGACAACACAGAUACAGGAAGAUGAAGACGCAGAAAGAAAGCAGGAAUAUGGCCAUGUCUUUCUACCUCUGCUUGUAUGUCAUACAAUAGACAGGAACAGUCCCUUAUAUAAUAUUACUCCAGCACAGCUACUUCAGAGCAAGGUUGAACUCCUCAUCACCCUUGAAGGUAUAGUAGAGCAGAGUGGAAACACUGUACAGGCCAGGACAUCGUUCCUUCCCUCUGAGAUACUCUGGGGACAUACAUUCACAAACUGUGUUACUUUUGCUAAUAAAGAGGGCGUAUACUUGGUGGACCACAGUAAGAUGGACGGAGUCCAGGCGGAUGAAACCCCCCGCCUCUCCGCCAAGCAGCUGGAAAACCUGGACUUAGAAUCGUCCUUAGCGGAGAAAUUCGGAUCAAAAUAUGCGAGCAAUAAUAAAACUCUAACGCGGUAGUUCACAUUCAGUACUGUACACAACUUUACAGUUUGACAUCAUUUAGUACAAUAUUCUUGGAAAACAUCUUUCAACAGUCGGGCCCCUUUUGUUAAUGUACUUUUUCGUACAUAAUUUAGGUCAAUACUAUUAAAAACCAUCUUUCAACAAUUUGACACCUUUUAUUUUUGUAAAUAAUUUGGUACAAUACAUUUGAAAAGCAUAUUUCAAUAGUUUCAAAACUUUUAUGUAUGUACAUAUGUGUACAUAAUCUACAACAAUACUCUUGAAAAACAUCAUUGAACUGAACAGUUUGACCCCUUUGAUUUAUGUACAUGAUCUGAUUUUGUACAUGCAGAUACAAUUAGCAUUGGAAUACAUAGGAAGGCAGAAUUGAGGGGAAACGGAUUUAUCAGUGGUUAAAAUGAGCGAAAAACGAAAGAAUCAAAAGCACAUUUAAGAUUAUUGUUCUGAUGUUACAAAUGAUAUAUUUUAAAGUAUAUUGUACACUGUAGUACACUGGUUUUCCUAUUUUUGCUACCAAAGACGUAAUCAUUUCUGUAGUACCUGUAAAAUCUUUAUGUAUAAGAAAAUGAAAAUAAACGCUAUCCAAUA